CUAUUAGGUUGGUGCAAAAGUAAUUGCGGUUUUUGCCAUUGAAAGUACUGACAAAAAUCGCAAUUACUUUUGCAUCAACCUAAUAU
ensembl:miRNA